rnacentral:tRNA from 1 species
CAAAGAAUAGUUUAAUUUUAAAAUUAUAAUUUUGGAAAUUAUUGAUAAAGAUUUAUCUUUUUCUUUGA